rnacentral:ncRNA from 2 species
CUCUUAUCAUGAGUAGGUAGAGGGAUUUGGCCCGAUGAAACCGCAGCAACCGACCUUUUGGCACGGUGCUACAUCCAACAGACAUGUUCUGGUAGAUAAGAG